UAACGUAGGGUGCAAGCGUUGUCCGGAAUUAUUGGGCGUAAAGAGCUCGUAGGCGGUUUGUCGCGUCUGCUGUGAAAACCCGGGGCUCAACUCCGGGCCUGCAGCCGAUACGGGCAGGCUAGAGUUCGGUAGGGGAGAUCGGAAUUCCUGGUGUAGCGGUGAAAUGCGCAGAUAUCAGGAGGAACACCGGUGGCGAAGGCGGAUCUCUGGGCCGAUACUGACGCUGAGGAGCGAAAGCGUGGGGAGCGAACAGG
rnacentral:rRNA from 1 species